GGAAAACUUACCAGGUCCAGACAUAGUGAGGAUUGACAGAUUGAAGAUCUUUCUUGAUUUUAUGGGUGGUGGUGCAUGGCCGUUCUUAGUUGGUGGAGUGAUUUGUCUGGUUAAUUCCGUUAACGAACGAGACCUCGACCUGCUAAAUAGUUCGAUGAAUCUUUGGAUUUGUACGACACUUCUUAGAGGGACUAUCGGUGGUUCAGCCGAUGGAAGUUCGAGGCAAUAA
rnacentral:rRNA from 1 species